GGUGGAUCACCGGGAACCACAAGAGAUUUGGCCACCAAAUAGUCACUGUAAUCAGAUUACCAGUCGGUCAGAAUUCAGCCCCCCCAAACUAUGUGUAGAAAGUAAUCCUUCUCCAGAAGAAAGGUUUUAUAGACGUAAACUUUAUUAAUCACUCUAUCUUUCAUAAUUCUGCAUAAGUCAUCGGUAUAUUCUCAUUUUCCUCAAAUAUUUGGAUAGGAUUAAAUGUUGUAUGUCAUCAUGCUAGAAUUUAUACGUAUAGUAAUAUGUAUGUAAACCCAAAGUUACCUGCUGUAGCUACAACUAAAGGAAUUCUCAUUAU